rnacentral:rRNA from 1 species
CCUACGGGAGGCAGCAGUGAGGAAUAUUGGACAAUGGGCGCAAGCCUGAUCCAGCCAUGCCGCGUGCAGGAUGACGGUCCUAUGGAUUGUAAACUGCUUUUAUACGAGAAGAAACACCCCUACGUGUAGGGACUUGACGGUAUCGUAAGAAUAAGGAUCGGCUAACUCCGUGCCAGCAGCCGCGGUAAUACGGAGGAUCCAAGCGUUAUCCGGAAUCAUUGGGUUUAAAGGGUCCGUAGGCGGUUUAGUAAGUCAGUGGUGAAAUCUUCCCGCUCAACGGGGAAACGGCCAUUGAUACUGCUAGACUUGAAUUAUUAGGAAGUAACUAGAAUAUGUAGUGUAGCGGUGAAAUGCUUAGAGAUUACAUGGAAUACCAAUUGCGAAGGCAGGUUACUACUAAUGGAUUGACGCUGAUGGACGAAAGCGUGGGUAGCGAACAGGAUUAGAUACCCUGGUAGUCCACGCCGUAAACGAUGGAUACUAGCUGGUUGGGUGACAACUCAGUGGCUAAGCGAAGUGAUAAGUACUCCCACCGUACGGGUAGGUACGUUACGUCGAAGAAGUAGAACGUACAAUAGUAAGUUAGUACGGCGUGAGACGUGACGACGGACGACGACGAGGGAGGUUAGG